CACAGAGGUGAGCAAGGGGCACUGCCAUCCUUGACAAGCAGCAGGGGCUUCCCUGCUCCACCUGCUACCCUAGGGGCCCCCUGGCUUGGAAGCCCAGAGGCAAUACUUCAAAGGCCUCUAGUUCUCUGCCCCCAGGUCCUCCCCUGGCAGCAGAACUCUGGCACAUCGCUGGCCUUUUCUGAGUCUGACUCCCUCAUCAGAGUGGCGGCGCAGCUUGCUGGGAGGCAGGAACGCAGCAGCUCAGCACCUAUGUUUUGGGGCUCCAUGGCUGGAUUCAAAUACUAGCUUACUAUUAGCUGUGUAAAUGACUAGCUAUGUAACUAUGGGCAAGUCAUUUUUCCGGCCCUCAGUUUUGCCACCUGUAACAUAAAGAUCAUAAUAGUUUCUAUGUCAUAGGCUGUUGAGAGGAUUUCAUGAGCUCGGCGGCUAGCACAUAAAACAUAGCUCAGUGAUGAGAGCCACUAUCUCGGUGUUGUUGUUGUUGUUAUUAUUAGGCUUGGGGUCGGUGUUGUUGUUAUUGUUAUUAUUAGGCUUGGGGUCGGUGUUGUCGUUAUUGUUAUUAUUAGGCUUGGGGGAUGAAAAGAUGUCUUCAGCAAGACAUUUCAAAAUCCACAAAUUUAAGAGAGAUGACUCACAACCUAAAAUUCCAUUUUGUCACUCCUUUAUCUCUCUGCUUUCUUGUCUUCUGGGACCUUCUUUGCAAAAUUGCCCAAGCGCUUACCCUCUGUGGAUGAGCAGUGCAGACACGGAUGGCCAGAAAUCAGACAAGGAAAGGGAAAAAGCUAUAGCCACAGACAGCAGCUGGAAAAUCAGACCAGGAUAUGAGGAUUCAGACAUCCCAAGGGCCAUGAGCCUCCAGAGGCCUGGGAGCAUCCGGGUCUCAAUGACCACACUGACAUCCUUCAGAUGGGCACCUGAGCCCACUGCCCACCCCAAUAUCCUUUGUACCUGGCAGGUGCCUUAGCAGACAACAAAAUCCUCCAGGAUCUCACCCUUCACAGCUGGCCAAGGCAGGAGCAUUUGGAACCAAGACAGGCUUGAUUGGGUGGCUGCCCCAGGGACAGGCAUCCUGGACUUGCCUGCCCAGAGGACCACAUCUGCCAGGGCAAGUCUGAGCACUCUGGCUGGGAUUUUAGGGCUUCCUACGAGGCGUCCUCCUCCCCAGACUGCUCUGAUUCACUCACCCAGCACCAGGAGCAAAUCAUCUAUGCACACCACAUCCUUUCCUACAUCCAGGCCUUUGCUCAUGCUGUCCCCUGAACCUAGAAUGCCAGGAUUCUAAUCUCCCUAUUCAGUUCCCACCUGAUUUCUCAGACUGGCUCAAGCUCCACCUACUCCAAGAAGCCCUCGUGGCUCCCUUAUCUGAUGGCCUGUAGUAAGUAGCUACCGUCUAGUUCACAACUCGAAACCCUUGAUCAUUUUCUGUAGCGUACACCCGCUCAACUGAUUCAAUGCAGCCGACACAGUAUUGGACGCUUUCUACGAACAAGGCACCCAGAGAGGGCUCGGAGGAAGAUGACAGUGCUAACGGGCACAGGGAGAAUCGAACGCCGUGUAGAAUCGUGAGCUUACUGCACCUUCCCAGCAGGUGCGGUGAGCCCGUAGAAGAGCCCCAUUUCUCCGUUUCCCAUCUGCCUUGCAGCCCCGAGGAGCGGUCCAUUCUACAGACAAGAGGCCUCAGGCUCAGAACCAAAGAAACUUGCCACAGUUGCAUCACUAGAAAGUGCCUGAAGCUGCAUCCAAGCCUGAGCCCUGUGGCCCCGCAACCCACAGGAAUUCCACUUCCAUCUCACUACCUCUCAUAGGAGGUUUUUAAUGACAAUGUGUUCAUUGGCUCGUUGCUGCUGUAUCUUUCUCCCUCAGUGUGUGUCUACUUCUGCCGGGCUCUCGCCCUCCCUCCUCACUCUGCAUGGUGCACAUAUCCUUAGUGGCUGAGCAUUUUCAGCUCGCUUCCUUCUUUUCUCUAAAAAUCUCUGCUUGGCUCUACCUUUAUUUCGCCUUUCACACACUGAGCAGCGAUUCGUUUCCUAUUCCACAUCGCCACCUGGCGGCCGUGGAGAGAGAGAACACCGCGCGUUUUUUACCAAGCGGGCAAAAGCAGGGGAAUCCUCACGCCAAACGGGUUUGAAGACCUCUUCACAUCAACGGCCAGCGCUCUACUGGACUCGCGCUUACACUGACUCGGCCACAGUCCGCUCUGUCGGUGGAGGAAAUAGACGUGGACGGCUUCCCUUCAUCACCUGGUGGCUGCUGGGCCACAUCCUGUUCAAGCCAGGGGAAGCCCUUCCUUCGGGGCAGUCCUGCUGGUGCCCCAGGCCCUGCUGCUGCAGUAUAGGACCAGCUCUAAGUCUACCCCAAAGCCUCAGCAUGCCUCUUCCCCCUAACUCAGGAGACAGUACAUUCAAGACAGUCCUGGACGCGGUGGCUUACGCCUGUAAUACCAGCACUUUGGGAGGCCAAGGCAAGAGGAUCACUGGAUCACUUGAGCCCAGAAGUUUGAGACCAGCCUGGACAAUGUAGUGAGACCCCUGUCUCUACAAAAAUUAAUUAAUUAAUUAAUUAAUUUUUUAAAAGAGACUAUUCCUCAUUCUUUUGACAUCAUUUUAAAUGAGAAAUGCAGAAUAUGACAC
rnacentral:lncRNA from 1 species